rnacentral:rRNA from 2 species
GAGAAAGUUUAUUUGGUCGAUCAGCACCUUUAAAAUUUUAGCGGCGGACGGGUGAGUAACACGUGGGUAACCUACCUUAUAGAUCGGGAUAACUCCGGGAAACCGGGGCUAAUACCGAAUAAUACUUUUUAACCCUGUUUUGAAGUUGAAAGACGGUCUUGCUGUCACUAUUAGAUGGACCCGCGGCGCAAUAGCUAGUUGGUGAGGUAACGGCUCACCAAGGCAACGAUGCGUAGCCCACCUGAGAGGGUGAUCGGCCACACUGGGACUGAGACACGGCCCAGACUCCUACGGGAGGCAGCAGUAGGGAAUCUUCCACAAUGGACGAAAGUCUGAUGGAGCAACGCCCCGUGAGUGAAGAAGGAUUUCGGUUCGUAAAACUCUGUUGCAAGGGAAGAACAAGUAGCGUAAUAACUGGCGCUACCUUGACGGUACCUUGUUAGAAAGCCACGGCUAACUACGUGCCAGCAGCCGCGGUAAUACGUAGGUGGCAAGCGUUGUCCGGAAUUAUUGGGCGUAAAGCGCGCGCAGGUGGUUCCUUAAGUCUGAUGUGAAAGCCCCCGGCUCAACCGGGGAGGGUCAUUGGAAACUGGGGAACUUGAGUGCAGAAGAGGAUAGUGGAAUUCCAAGUGUAGCGGUGAAAUGCGUAGAGAUUUGGAGGAACACCAGUGGCGAAGCGACUGUCUGGUCUGUAACUGACACUGAAGCGCGAAAGCGUGG